UUAUCUCACCCUCUCACGCAUUAGCCGCCCACUCUCCAUGAAAUCUCUCGUCGUUUAUUUUUCGCUCAACCCUCUCCCCAGAUUUCUGUCUCUCUGAAAAUGAGUUGUGGUUUGACGAAUCUACUCACCUGGAUCUAUUUAUGAUUUCUGUUCUGCUGCUCUUCCAAUUUGAUUUCGACAUUCACUUUGGGGUUGUCUAUAUAUGGAUCUCCAGUGAAAUGGAUAUAUCAGAGUCUGGGGAUAAAAACCCAUUGAUGCUUUUGUCUACUUGAAGUGUAUUUGGUAAUUGGUGCUAUUUUAUUCGGUAAGAUUUAUCAAAUUAUGCAAUCUGAAUUACUCGGUGUUCGAAUUCACUUAUGACCUUUCGUUUUCAAUAAAAUUGUCACUGCACCUAAGGUUUUAGAAUACUCUAAUUAUCUUAAUGGUAUUUGAAAGGGGGUGUUAGAUUUUCUAUGCAGUUAAAUCUUUAGGUUUUUGUUUUUAUUGACAUUGUCUCUGAUAAUUUGGGGGUUUUAUUUGUGUGUUAUAUGAGUUCUUUUUGAAUUACAUGAAGCUGAAAAAGCCAUGAACUCUAGACAGGGGGAAGGUGGCCUCCAUGGGCGGUGAUGACUAAGAGAGAUUGAAGCAUUCGGAGAAUGCUGAUAGUCUGUUAAUACUCAAUUAAAUAAUUAAGGUGACACCACUUCAUUGUCAUCUGAGCUUCACAAAUAGUGUGGGUGGAGACCCUCGACUAGACUCAUAAGCCCAAGAGCAAAGUACAGAUUAAAUUUGGAGAUUUUACUACUACAAGAGGUGUCAAUAAAAAGUGAACAUCAUUACCAGAUGGUCUCUGUGUGACACCAUUGGCCUGCCCAGGGAAAUAGAAAAGAGAAAUACGAAUGGGAUCAAGAAGACAAGAAGCACCUGGAUAUCUUCCACUGGAUUGACAUCUAAGUAUAGAAGACUUUGCUGAAUAGCUUGAAGGCAGUUGGUUUCAAGAUUAGUAGGAAUAGGAAUACAAAGGUGCUCAAACAUGUAGCUUAUUUUAGUUUGAAAACGACCUCAUGACUAUUUUCAUGAUACUGUUUCCUAUUGACAUUCAAUUGAAAAUCAUUGUAUUUGUUAAUUUGUUAUUAAUAUAAAUUUGUUUUUUAUCA